GACAGAGGGUGCAAACGUUGUUCGGAAUUACUGGGCGUAAAGCGUGCGUAGGCGGUUGGCUAAGUCAGAUGUGAAAGCCCUGGGCUCAACCUGGGAAUGGCAUUUGAAACUGGCUGGCUAGAGUGUGAUAGAGGAUGGCGGGAAUUCCCGGUGUAGCGGUGAAAUGCGUAGAGAUCGGGGAGGAACAUCCGUGGCGAAGGCGGCCAUCUGGAUCAACACUGACGCUGAGGCACGAAAAGCGUGGGGGA
rnacentral:rRNA from 1 species